GUUAUUAGUAUUAUUGUGUUUUUUUACUAUUUUUUUACAAGUUCUCACAUAUUUUUUGAAUGCUUAUGAAUAUUUACAUGUGUUGUUGAGUUCAUAACAAAUCCAUGCACACUUGAUACCAUCUGUUGUCGAUUGUAGGUUGUCUUCACUGGUGGGCGUACACAACCUGGUACAAUAAAGCCCGAUGAAGGAGAGAGGCAUCCUUAUUCAGUUCUAGAUUGCCAGCCUAUACGUGAAGCUAUCUUACCUUCUGUACUCUACAUACAGAAGAUCUUGCGGCGUAAACCCUUUUUGAUUAAGAACCUUGAAAAUGUUAUGCGAAAGUUCCUUCAGUCCUUGGAGCUCUUUGAGGAGAAUGAAAGAAAGAAGCUUGCUAUAUUCACAGCC
rnacentral:lncRNA from 1 species